CGAACUGAGCCGUCCCAUUGACCUGGAAGCGGAUGGGAUGUGUUGGGGGUGAUGACAUUUCGUAUAACGCCGGCAGCUUGAAAACAUGGCUGAAAUUGAAGACAGAGAAGAUGUUACUGAAGAGAUGCCUGAAUUGUCUGAGAUGGGCGACGAAGAAUGGUGUGACUGGGAUGAAGAAGAGCAGAUCAAGGGACAAGAACAAAUUCGUUGCCUAUUUUGUGAGAGAUUAUUCAGUUCAGCUCAAGAUACCUUUUCUCACUGUAGAGUGGACCAUCAAUUUGACAUGAGCCAAAUAGUUCACAAGCAUGGUCUCGAUUGUUAUGGGUUCAUCAGGCUUGUCAAUUUUAUUAGAAUCACAAAUCCCCCUGCAGAAUCUUUCAAAUCCAUUUUGGGCCAUGUCCCUUGGGAGAAUGAAGAAUUUAUGAAACCACCGUCCACAGAUGAUCCUUUACUCCAGUUUGAUGUCGAUGAGUUCUGGGAAAGUACGGAGACACAAACCUGUUUGGCAGAACCACUGGGUGAGGAGAGCUGGGACCGAGCAGCACAGCUUCAACGGUUACAAGAAGCAGAGAGAAGAGCCAAGGAAGCUGAAGCAGCUGUGGAAAGGAUCAUGGGAGAUUUUGAGAAAAUGAGACAAUAUGCACAGGAUUUCGUGAUAAAUGCAGAUGCCAGAGCUGGAACAUCAACCACAAAUGCUAUAGCUAACCUGCAGGAGGAUGAGGACAGUGUCUAUUUCAGCUCUUAUGCGCAUUAUGGCAUACAUGAGGAAAUGUUAAAGGAUAAAGUGCGGACUGAGAGCUACAGGGAUUUCAUGUACUGCAACCCCCAUAUUUUCAAGGACAAGGUAGUUUUGGAUGUUGGAUGUGGAACUGGGAUCUUGUCCAUGUUUGCUGCCAAAGCAGGGGCCAAGCGCGUGAUCGGAGUGGACCAAUCUGAGAUCAUUUACCAGGCCAUGGAUAUUGUAAGGGAAAAUGAACUGGAUAGUGUUAUCACACUCAUUCGAGGAAGGAUUGAGGAUGUUGAACUUCCAGUUGCUAAAGUGGACAUUAUUAUUUCAGAGUGGAUGGGUUAUUUUCUGUUGUUUGAAUCGAUGCUGGACUCUGUCAUAAGUGCACGGGACAGGUACCUGAUGGAAGGUGGUGCAGUGUACCCUGAUAUCUGCACUAUUAACCUGACAGCAGUGGGUGACAGGAAGAAACACAAUGAACGAGUAGCUUUCUGGGAGGAUGUGUAUGGCUUUAAGAUGUCCUGUAUGAAGAAGGCAGUGAUCCCAGAAGCUGUGGUGGAAGUGAUAAACGCUGACACCCUUAUUUCAGAGCCCUGCAUUGUCAAGGCGAUCGACUGCAACAAGGUCGGAAUUGCAGAUCUGGAUUUCACCUCGAAGUUCUCGCUGAAGAUAACGAAGGAUCACGAAUGUGUGGCAAUUUCUGGACACUUUGAUAUUUCAUUCGAGAAGAAUUGCAGCAAUAAGGUCAUGUUCUCCACUGGCCCAAGAAGCACCGAAACACACUGGAAGCAAACUGUUUUUCUCCUUGAGCAGCCAGUCUCAGUGAGAAAAGGUGAUGUCUUACAAGGAAAGAUUUCCUGUUGCAAGAACAGAAAAGAUCCUCGGUCGCUGAUUGUAACAAUAUCAAUUAACAGCAUGAAACAAACGUACAGUGUGCAGUGAGAGCUCCCUCCUUCAAUACCACAGGGAUAUGAGCAUCACUGGCAAAGCUGGCAUUCUUACCCCUGCCUAAUUGUCCUUGAUUUGAGUGGCUUGCUCAGCCGUUCCAGAGGGCAGUUAAGUAUCAAUCCACACUGGCUGUGGGACUGGAAUCUUGUGUAGGCCAGAGCAGCAACCAUUAAAGAACAAAUCUACUGUGAUGAGGAACACUGAAGAAGCUAUUGUAAAGAUUGCACAACUGUGAAGAUUUGAAGAAGGCUGUCGUUUUAUACAAUAGACGUUCCAGACCUCCGCAAGUUGUUGUUUGGAAGUCGAUUAAUUGAAGCACAUUUUUACUGUGAUGACAUUGGUUCGGCCAUACUCCCAAUAGCAGGAGUAAAAAAUGUAAUUCUGAAAGAGACUGGAAACCACAGCUAUAAAAAUUCAGCAGUUCGGACAGCAGAACACCUGAAGAAAAGUCACUGGACUCGAAAUCCUAACUCUGUUUCUCUCUCCCCAGUUGUUAUCAGACCCGCUGAGUUUCUCCAGCCAUUUCGGUUUGUUUCUGAUUUCCAGUAUCCUCGGUUCUCUGAGACUUUUGUUACAAAAACAAAAUUCUAUUCUGAACAAGGGUCACUGGAUUUCGAAACAUUAACUCUGUUUUUCUCUCCCCAGACCUGCUGAGUUUCUCAAACAAUUUCUACUUUUGUUUGUUUCAGAUCUCCAGCAUCCACGGUUCUUUAAAAUAGAAUGCCGCUUUCCAACUAGUGUGUAACAAUGCUUCCUCGUGUUGCUGAAUUUGGGGUUUUGCAGAGAAUUAAUAAUAUGCAGUUUGCCGACGAUUAAACAGCUCCCUGCUCCCUGACCCAACAUGCAGCUGAUAACCUACUUUGUUUUUACUGCAUUGUUGAAAUAAGGUAGAUCGUAUUACUUCUUCCUCUGCCAGACACGGAAAGAAUUAGGAAAUUAUUAUCUAGGCUAGAACUGGAAAUGCGGGGAAAAAAUUGGGAUGUUUACCAAUCUUGCAAAUAUGAAAACCAUGCUGAGCUUUGUUUCUGUUAGUGUUUAUGUUCCAAUAUCUAAUAAAUAGUACAAGAUUUCCUGUUUAAA